AACGAACGCUGGCGGCAGGCUUAACACAUGCAAGUCGAGCGCCCAGCAAUGGGAGCGGCGCACGGGUGAGUAACACGUGGGAACGUGCCCUUUGGUUCGGAAUAACGUAGGGAAACUUGCGCUAAUACCGGAUAAGCCCUUACGGGGAAAGAUUUAUCGCCAUUGGAGCGGCCCGCGUUGGAUUAGCUAGUUGGUGGGGUAAAAGCCUACCAAGGCAACGAUCCAUAGCUGGUCUGAGAGGACGACCAGCCACACUGGGACUGAGACACGGCCCAGACUCCUACGGGAGGCAGCAGUGGGGAAUCUUGGACAAUGGGGAAACCCUGAUCCAGCCAUGCCGCGUGAGUGAUGAAGGCCUUAGGGUUGUAAAACUCUUUCGGNGGGACAAUAAUGACGGUACCCGCAGAAGAAGCUCCGGCUAACUUCGUGCCAGCAG
rnacentral:rRNA from 1 species